CUCCACUUAAUUGUACUAGCAGGUAUCUGAAGUCCCACAGGGACUCCUGAUAGACCAGAGCCUGUUUGGCUCUGGCAGUCUUGAGUGCUCUCCAAAAGCACCUCGAGUGCCAUAGGUUGCUGACCCCUAAUCUAUUACCAUUCAUUAAUUUCUGCAUGCACCAUUACUAUUUUACUCAUCUACUUAUAAGUUCACAGUCAAUUACAUAGAAUGGUCAUUCGCUUAACACAGUUACCUAUAUAUAGCCAAUUUAUUUUUUACAUUUAUAGUGCUUAUUCUUUGCUCUGUGUAUACAGUUUCCUAGCUACUAUUCUGUUUGUAAUCAGUAGUAUGUACACAAUUAUUGCCUGUUUGAAUAAAAUAUAUCUACAUCCUUACAACUCAUUCACCUGUCUGAAAAC